rnacentral:ncRNA from 2 species
CACGGCUUUUUUGUUCUGGAUUUUUGAACAGGGAACCCCGUGAAACUCGGGGACGGGCCCGCCGCUGUAAUCCUUUUUUCCAUUAUGUUCAAUGGGAAAAUCGCUUCGGCAUGAAAUGCCACUGUUUUGUGUUUUUAUGCAUAUUUGAGCUGUCUCCUGUACCUGUGGCGACUGCAAAAAACAAUAAAAACACAAAAUGGGAAGGCUGCUGAAGGGGACGGAAAGUCAGAAGACCUGCCCAGACAAAUAAAGCUGU